UAGGGAAUCUUCGGCAAUGGGGGCAACCCUGACCGAGCAACGCCGCGUGAGUGAAGAAGGUUUUCGGAUCGUAAAGCUCUGUUGUAAGUCAAGAACGAGUGUGAGAGUGGAAAGUUCACACUGUGACGGUAGCUUACCAGAAAGGGACGGCUAACUACGUGCCAGCAGCCGCGGUAAUACGUAGGUCCCGAGCGUUGUCCGGAUUUAUUGGGCGUAAAGCGAGCGCAGGCGGUUUGAUAAGUCUGAAGUUAAAGGCUGUGGCUCAACCAUAGUUCGCUUUGGAAACCGUCAAACUUGAGUGCAGAAGGGGAGAGUGGAAUUCCAUGUGUAGCGGUGAAAUGCGUAGAUAUAUGGAGGAACACCGGUGGCGAAAGCGGCUCUCUGGUCUGUAACUGACGCUGAGGCUCGAAAGCGUGGGGAGCGAACAGGAUUAGAUACCCUGGUAGUCCACGCCGUAAACGAUGAGUGCUAGGUGUUGGAUCCUUUCCGGGAUUCAGUGCCGCAGCUAACGCAUUAAGCACUCCGCCUGGGGAGUACGACCGCAAGGUUG
rnacentral:rRNA from 1 species